rnacentral:rRNA from 1 species
GACGAACGCUGGCGGCGUGCUUAACACAUGCAAGUCGAACGGAAAGGCCUCAGCUUGCUGGGGUACUCGAGUGGCGAACGGGUGAGUAACACGUGGGUGAUCUGCCUUGCACUCUGGGAUAAGCUUGGGAAACUGGGUCUAAUACCGGAUAUGAACUGCCUUUAGUGUGGUGGUUGGAAAGUUUUUUCGGUGCAAGAUGAGCUCGCGGCCUAUCAGCUUGUUGGUGGGGUAAUGGCCUACCAAGGCAUCGACGGGUAGCCGGCCUGAGAGGGUGUACGGCCACAUUGGGACUGAGAUACGGCCCAGACUCCUACGGGAGGCAGCAGUGGGGAAUAUUGCACAAUGGGCGGAAGCCUGAUGCAGCGACGCCGCGUGGGGGAUGACGGCCUUCGGGUUGUAAACUCCUUUCGACAGGGACGAAGCUUUUUGUGACGGUACCUGUAUAAGAAGCACCGGCUAACUACGUG